UGAGUUUUGCGGUGUUAAUUGGUUCAGAUGCUCUGCAUAUCUCAGUUUAGCCGCCCCCCCCUUUUUUUUCCGUCUGUUCAUGGAUUCUUGACACAUGUGUUCUCCUUGGGAAGCAAAAUGGUGUCCGUUAACUGGACGGUAAGAUCUUUCGUGGGCUCGAUGGGAACAAAGCCAGCAUUCGUGGGCUCGAUGGGAACGUAGUCGGCCUUUGUGGGCUUAUUCUAUAGCAAAACGGUCUGCGUGGGCUGGCUAUGAAGCAAAAGGACCUGUGUCAGGUAGCUCGGAGGCAAAAUAAGGUUGGAUCUUUUUUUUUAAUUUUUAAGUGUUUUCAAAUUCCCGUCAUAUUUGAUGUCAAAUAUACUAAACAAAUAUAACAUAUGUUUAUGAAUAUUAUUUUGUAUACAUUUUGUUAUUAACACCCAAUUGUGACUACCCUUUUACUAUGUUUUGUUAUGUAUGAUGCUUGUAUGACACCAUGGGCGGGUGUAAUGACGUGGUACGUGCUGUUUUCGCUUUUCAGGCGAGACAUGAUAUUUCACCAGGUGAAGUAUAUCGCAGAGAUUCCGCUUAGAAACGCUACACAAACCCAGUCAGGAAGCGAGGUUUCCUACGAUGUAAACCGCGUUAUACUCUUCUGUGUUUAUUUGUCUUAAUUUAUGUGUAAUGUUUUAUUCGCUUGCACCGUGCUCAGUUUAUACAGUUGUAUAUCCGGCUGUGUACAUUUCUCGUGUGCACGGGUUUUAUUCCGUAGUGGUGAUCCGAGAGAUACUUCG
rnacentral:lncRNA from 1 species